GGGGGUAGAGAGGAGAUUGAGAGGAAAAAGGAUGGGCAAGAAAGCGAAUCUCCCAGCUGGUGCAGAGCCCCACACGGUGCCUUACUGACACACAUCCAGAGAUUCGAGUCCCCUGAACCCGCGUGGGUGACUUUGAAGCAGAUUCCCGCCUGGCACAGCGCACUCUCCAGCCGCUCACGUGAAAUCCAUCAAGGCAAAGUCACACCCUACAGCCAGAGCAAUUCGGGAAGCUUGACUCUCCCACAAACAACCUCCCUGCUCCCCGGCAGUCCCCACAUGCAGCAGCAGACUAGUGGGUAGAACUGCAGGGGUAUGGAGACAUCCCGAACUUCAGCAGCAGCAGUCCCAGCACCCCGCCCCCAACCUCAGGCAUGAAGAGCAAGACAAGAUCUCAUGUGUCCUGGGCUGUUCCUGAGUUCCUGAUAGUCUUGCCUCCACCAGACCCUCCCCUACCGCCCACUCAUUGCUAGAAUUAUAGGUGUAUGGACACUGUGGACACAUGUCCCUUGAAGUCUGGCCUCCACCAGUACAUUGCCUGGGUUAAAUUCCACACAUGUCUGGCCCUGAAGCCAGUACUGUGUGCUUUCUUCAGCUAAAGCAAGCCCCCCUCCAUCUCUUCUGUAGCUUCCUAGGUCCUGGGCUCAUCAAGCAAUUGAAAUCUUUCAAAAUGAUCGAUCAGGGCUGAUCCACUCGAGAUUUUACUUGUGGUUGAUGUUAUUUUUCAAGUCAACGACCAAUUACAGUAACAGCAUUGAUUAAACACCGUCUCUCUGCCCUGCAUGGAAAUGCCAUCUUUCCUGUGCUUUACCUCAGAAUGGACCGGGCUUGGUUGCACACGGCUUUGAGCCCAGCACGCUGAAGACAAACAGGUGGAACUCUGUGAGUCUAAGGCCAGCCUAGUCUACAAAGAGAGUUCCAGAACAGCCAGGAGUACAUAAUGAAACCCUGUGUCAAAACACAACCAACAAACAGCGUGGGUCUUGAAUGGCUUUUAUACGUCUUGGCCUCCUGGUCUACAAACUUGCUGUGUCAAUGCCAUGUAGCCUUUCACGCUAUUCCAUCAGCUUGGUCCAGAGUUUUAGCAUCUGGCACAACUGUUCUACAUCAGUGUUUUUCAGAGAUAAAAUGCUGCUCGUGAAAUGGAAAUAUUUAGAAUUGCUUCUACAUAAAUGUUAAAUGCUUUUAUAGAACCCAAGGAAAACCCUGUUGAUGUUCUGAUUAAAAUUAAGGUUCAUCCCUUU
rnacentral:lncRNA from 1 species